rnacentral:rRNA from 1 species
GACGAACGCUGGCGGCGCGCUUAACACAUGCAAGUCGAGCGACGAACCAGCCCUUCGGGGCUGGGGAAAGCGGCGAACGGGUGAGUAACACGUGGGUAACCUGCCCUCGGUUCCGGGAUAACUCCGGGAAACCGGUGCUAAUACCGGAUGGCCUCCGAAGCCCUCGGGCAUCGGAGAAAAGGUAGCUUCGGCCUCCGACCGAGGAUGGGCCUGCGGCCGAUUAGCUUGUUGGCGGGGUAAUGGCCCACCAAGGCGACGAUCGGUAGCUGGUGUGAGAGCAUGACCAGCCACACUGGGACUGAGACACGGCCCAGACUCCUACGGGAGGCAGCAGUGGGGAAUCUUGCGCAAUGGGCGAAAGCCUGACGCAGCGACGCCGCGUGCGGGAAGAAGGCCUUCGGGUUGUAAACCGCUUUCAGGAGGGGCGAAGCCACUCGGGUUAAUAGCCCAGAGGGUGACGGUACCUCCAGAAGAAGCCCCGGCUAACUACGUGCCAGCAGCCGCGGUAAUACGUAGGGGGCAAGCGUUGUCCGGAUUUAUUGGGUUUAAAGGGUGCGUAGGCGGUUCUUUAAGUCCGGGGUGAAAGCCCGUUGCUCAACAACGGAACUGCCCUGGAAACUGGCGAACUUGAGUACAGACGAGGGUGGCGGAAUGGAUGGUGUAGCGGUGAAAUGCAUAGAUACCAUCCAGAACCCCGAUUGCGAAGGCAGCUGCCUAGACUGUAACUGACGCUGAGGCACGAAAGCGUGGGGAGCGAACAGGAUUAGAUACCCUGGUAGUCCACGCCGUAAACGAUGGAUACUCGCUGCCGGCGAUACAAUGUCGGUGGCUUAGCGAAAGCGUUAAGUAUCCCACCUGGGGAGUAC